UUCAGAUUUUGACCCGCCUGCAGUUGAAGACCAUCCGUCUGACAGGCUUAUCUCAGCGCAUCAUGAUCGCCCUUUCAGAAAUUCACAGCAGCUACGAUCUGCUCCAAAAAGUGAACAGCCAAUUGCCACACUACGUAGAGUAUGUGGAAAUGAUAGAUGCGCUGACUGUGGUGCUGCUGAACCAGAUUGGGCAUCUUUAAAUCUUGGUGUUCUUGUUUGUAUUGAAUGUUCAGGUGUUCAUCGUAAUCUUGGUGUGCAUAUAUCAAAGGUGAGGUCACUCACACUUGAUGUCAAAGUGUGGGAGCCUUCUGUUAUAGCUUUAUUUCAGUCGUUGGGGAAUACCUUUGCAAAUUCAGUCUGGGAAGAGUCACUGCAAGCUCGAGGUGCUUUCCAAGUUAAUGUUUCCGCUGCCAGCUCAUACAGAUCUGAUAAACAGCAACAGCUCUACAUCAGCAAGCCAAGUCAUGCUGAUCCCAUUUCAACCAAGGAGAAAUUCAUCCAUGCAAAGUAUGCAGAUAAAUCAUUUGUUCGUCGGACCAAGGAUGGUCACACUGUGGCACAAAUGAUGUGGGAGGCUGUUCGAGCUAAUGAUAAGAAAGCUGUGUAUCGCCUUAUUGUAAGCUCUGAAGCAGAUGUUAAUGCUCUUUACAAGCAAGUUGUGUCUAAUUCUUCCUUAACCCUUGCUAAAGUAAUGCUGUUACAAGAACUACCAUACACUGAUCAGAGUUCAACUUGCUUAGAAAUGGACUUGGCAAGUCCAAGUGAGAGGCUUAUAGUUGGGGACUUCAAUGGGUGCUCCCUUCUACACCUUGCUUGUCAAACAGCUGACCUAGGGAUGCUAGAGCUUCUUAUGCAGUACGGUGCAAAUGUAAAUGCUUCAGAUUCAAGUGGUCAGACACCACUUCAUUGGUGCAUUAUAAGAGGCAAAGCUGCAUUUGCUAAGUUGCUUAUUGCAAGGGGUGCUGAUCCACAUGCUUUGGAUGGGGAAAGUAAAACCCCUUACGAUCUUGCAUUGGGCUCAAAUUUUGAUGACGUUGAUGUCCUUAAUCUCUUGUCAGACACAAAUGCUUAAUACAUUCAAGAGAGUAUAUAUCAAAACGUGGACAGAGAUUGAAGCUGUACCCUUGGUUUGAAAUGAAACCAGGGUUUCAGUUCUUUGUAAUUAUGUUAGUAAAUUUUGUGCUCACAGAUCUCCAUUGAAAGACACCGCCACUUGUGCAUUAAGGGCCCUUGACGUUGCAUGUUGUGGUCUGCAAGAUUCCUGGGGACUACACGUCCGAAUCUUGUAUUGAAGUAUAAUGUUAGGGUGGUCUUUCAUGCUUGAUUUUGGAGGUCAGAUGCAUUGGAGGUUCUAGGCAUUGGCUUUGGGUGCUGGUAUUUUGUGUACAUUUUGCUGUUAAUUUAACUUUUGUGGUGUAGCCUUUGUAGUUUGUAUAUCUAAAUCUAAGUGUUAUUUUAACUGAGGGAAAAGGAUUUGCUUGCCUGUCCCUUCACUGGUUUAGUACAUUUGGUGGUGUAUCUAAAUCAAAUGAACUUGCCCUCUGGUUUGUCCAGAGGUAAGUCUUAUUGUUAUUGUGA
rnacentral:misc_RNA from 1 species